rnacentral:misc_RNA from 1 species
AACCUAGCACACCUGCGGUGUGUACCUGCGGAGGGAUCAUUACACAAUAAACAUAUGAAGGCUGCACCGCCAACAGGCGGCAAGGCUGGAGUAUUUUAUUACCCUUGUCUUUUGCGCACUUGUUGUUUCCUGGGCGGGUUCGCCCGCCUCCAGGACCACAUGAUAAACCUUUUUUAUGCAGUUGCAAUCAGCGUCAGUACAACAAAUGUAAAUCAUUUACAACUUUUAGCAAUGGAUCUC